UAGAAAGUGGUGUAGCGGGAGCACCUGGAGUUUUGAUCUCUUGAGCAUGGGUUCGAGCCCCUUCUUUUUAA
rnacentral:tRNA from 1 species